rnacentral:rRNA from 1 species
UGGGGAAUAUUGGGCAAUGGGCGCAAGCCUGACCCAGCGACGCCGCGUGAGGGAUGAAGGUCUUCGGAUUGUAAACCUCUUUCAGUAGGGAAGGAGCGAAAGUGACGGUACCUAAAGAAUAAGCACCGGCUAACUACGUGCCAGCAGCCGCGGUAAUACGUAGGGUGCAAGCGUUAAUCGGAAUUACUGGGCGUAAAGCGUGCGCAGGCGGUUUGAAAAGUCAGCUGUGAAAGCCCCGGGCUCAACCUGGGAACUGCAUUUGAGACUGCAAGGCUAGAGUGUAGCAGAGGGGGGUAGAAUUCCACGUGUAGCAGUGAAAUGCGUAGAGAUGUGGAGGAAUACCGAUGGCGAAGGCAGCCCCCUGGGUUACUACUGACGCUCAUGCACGAAAGCGUGGGGA